AUGCGUCUUGCCCUCUAUACCCUUCCCUAUCUUUGUAGUACUCCUUUGAACAGUCUCUAGUCUUAUGUCUUCCUUAUACUGUGGCACCCAACCCUGCACCUAGUGCUGGAGGAGCAGCUGCGCAGCACAGAGGGCAGCCUCUCUCCUCGCCUGGAGCAGUGCUGGUGCACCCCCAGGAAGUGAUUAAUCAUUGAGAAACAGUCAUACUGACAUUGAAUUAAACUUGGAAAAUAAUUUAGAACUCAGAACUUUGUAUCCUGGCAGCAGCUAUUAGGAAUGGGCAGGCUCAUUUCAUUGAUUGUGCUGUGAGAAGGUUGUUCAGGCUCAUAUGGAGCACAAAGAGGCAGAACCACUUGCAACUAGGACCAUGAUGACUUAUAUCUGCAGCUGACAGUGGAAAAGGACAGUUUCUCAGAGGUCUGGUAGUCACUGCACAAAUGAAGAAAUGUCUACAUGUACAGAUGUCUGAAUUUCUCCAUAUGUAGACAUGGUUGGGCACUUUUUGCUGGUAGCAUUCUAUUUUUCUUACAUAUAAAGUCUAUCUUGUCAAGAAAAUGCCCGCUUUUUGGUACCUACCCUCCCUUUGUUAUAUCUGCUUUCUUUUUAUAAGUUUAAUGUCAACCAAUACAUUAAAUCCUUACUCUUUUUUUUAACUCAAUCUGUAUUUAAAGAAAGCUUGAAGAUUUGACCCAUUCUUCCCAAUUCAACACUCACAAAAAUCAAAGAGAAAGCUCCUUAUAUUGUAAGAAACAAAUUAAGCUGAUAGUAUUCUGAAGUCAUGUUUGAUGUAUAUGUAAAAAAA
ensembl:lncRNA